rnacentral:rRNA from 1 species
AUGGAAACUCUCCAUUUUCGGCAUCAACUGUACGUACAGAAGACUUCCGUCUAUGUCCGAACCCCGCAGAAUGCUGAUAUUUCUGGUGAGUCUAUGGAUGCUUUGUCACCAACAAAGUCCAAAGACACGUUUGAGAGUUUCCCGGCAGAGAGCAACAUAGGUAAUGGUGAAGGCAGUCAAGAAAAUGAUGGUAAGCACAAAAGAAAAAAGUCGAAAUAUUGCCAAUCCCCCUACGACAUUCUUAUUACCCUCAAGAAACGUGUUAAAAAAAUCUGUUUGCAUCGUCACCACAUUCAAUUCUAG